CCCAGAGCGAGUGAAGGACCUGCCGCUGAAGUGCCGCCGAAGACCCAGAGUGCUGCCAGGCUCUUCUUGGAUCACCAAGAUCUUGUCAUCACUCAGGUAUCGUAGGAGUGAAUUCUCCGAGUCAGUUGUUGGAGGAAGAAGAAAAGAAAUAUGAAUAAGACAAAACAAGUACACAAAAUGAGAACCUCAAAGAUACGAACAUCACAGUUAUGGACUGACCGGUCAACCGGACACCAUGUGAAACCAGAAGUAACCAAUCAGGCAGCAGCAGAGACCAAAAAACAAAAAACAAAAAAUCACCCAACAAAAAAACAAAUACUGUACUGUGCCUGUAUUGCAUCUUAAAGGAAAGCAGAAGUAACAGGACAGUUAGUAGACAGACUCCUCUGUACUCUCCAUGGCACUCAUGAAAACUACAGCAGGUGUCUGUGAUGCACAUUUUCAUCUCUUUUAAAGGACAGAGAGAAAAAUCUUGGAUCACAGCAGUGGAGAAGAUCCAGACUAACACGGCUACCCCUCUGAUACCUGACUCUGAAAGUUACAUGCUGGCUGAUGUGGGCAUCUUUUGCCCACAUAGAAAGUGAACUAACUGCAAACGCCUUGAGGAAAACAAAGGACACCUUGUGAAAAACAGAGAUUCAGAAAUGAUGGUUUCCACUAAUCUUACCUUUACUGUAAUAUCUUCAUUACAACCAUGCUGAGUGAACCUGUAAGCCUCAUUCUAUACUAUGGAACCAGUAGUAGUUAUGGUAGCAAGGCCAUUAAACUAGGAAUACUGACAACGGGGGGAUAAUCUUUUUUGACCUUGAUUAUUAUCAGUGAACACACAGAACCACCCUGCAGAUCAUGAGUCAACUCCUGUCUGAAAUAUUCAUUCAAAAAAAGCAUUCCAGUCUAGCAUUCCAGAGUCUAGUUCUGUGGUCUGCUUGUUUUGGAAUCAAGUUAUUUUCCAAAACAUUAAACAUUGCCCAACAAUCUUGUUCCUAAAAUAAUCAUAUAUCUGAAAACACUAUGCAUAAAAGUUUCUUUUCUUGUUUCCAAUAGCUCAUUUCCUCAAUUCUACUGUUCAUUACUGAAAAAAAGCACUUAUGGUGCAUAGCUACCGUACUGAUGGAUGAAUGGAUUUUGUUAUUUAUGGAUAUGUGAAACAUCU